rnacentral:rRNA from 1 species
GGUUAAGCGACUAAGCGUACACGGUGGAUGCCCUGGCAGUCAGAGGCGAUGAAGGACGUGCUAAUCUGCGAUAAGCGUCGGUAAGGUGAUAUGAACCGUUAUAACCGGCGAUUUCCGAAUGGGGAAACCCAGUGUGAUUCGUCACACUAUCAUUAACUGAAUCCAUAGGUUAAUGAGGCGAACCGGGGGAACUGAAACAUCUAAGUACCCCGAGGAAAAGAAAUCAACCGAGAUUCCCCCAGUAGCGGCGAGCGAACGGGGAGCAGCCCAGAGCCUGAAUCAGUGUGUGUGUUAGUGGAAGCGUCUGGAAAGGCGCGCGAUACAGGGUGACAGCCCCGUACACAAAAAUGCACAUGCUGUGAGCUCGAUGAGUAGGGCGGGACACGUGGUAUCCUGUCUGAAUAUGGGGGGACCAUCCUCCAAGGCUAAAUACUCCUGACUGACCGAUAGUGAACCAGUACCGUGAGGGAAAGGCGAAAAGAACCCCGGCGAGGGGAGUGAAAAAGAACCUGAAACCGUGUACGUACAAGCAGUGGGAGCACGCUU